GUGACAGCACUUGAAGAUGAAUUCCUGCAUUUUUUCUGCAGUAGUUGCAUAGCAGAAGACAGUGGCAGGGCAGACUUCUCUUACAAAUGUCUGAGCCCUGACCUCAAGAGAUCACCUUUAGAGAUGAGUCUCUGUGCCCAUUCAAUUCUUGACCUCC
rnacentral:sRNA from 1 species